rnacentral:rRNA from 1 species
ACCAGACUCCUACGGGAGGCAGCAGUGGGGGAUAUUGCACAAUGGGGGGAACCCUGAUGCAGCGACGCCGCGUGGGUGAAGAAGCGCCUCGGCGCGUAAAGCCCUGUCAGCAGGGAAGAAAAUGACGGUACCUGAAGAAGAAGCCCCGGCUAACUACGUGCCAGCAGCCGCGGUAAUACGUAGGGGGCAAGCGUUAUCCGGAUUUACUGGGUGUAAAGGGGGCGCAGACGGCGAUGCAAGCCAGGAGUGAAAGCCCGGGGCCCAACCCCGGGACUGCUCUUGGAACUGCGUGGCUGGAGUGCAGGAGGGGCAGGCGGAAUUCCUGGUGUAGCGGUGAAAUGCGUAGAUAUCAGGAGGAACACCGGUGGCGAAGGCGGCCUGCUGGACUGCGACUGACGUUGAGGCCCGAAAGCGUGGGGAGCAAACAGGAUUAGAUACCCCUGUACAG